rnacentral:rRNA from 1 species
CACGUAGGGGGCGAGCGUUGUCCGGAUUUAUUGGGCGUAAAGAGCUCGUAGGCGGCUCAGUAAGUCGGGUGUGAAAACUCCAGGCUCAACCUGGAGACGCCACCUGAUACUGCUGUGGCUAGAGUCCGGUAGGGGAGCAUGGAAUUCCUGGUGUAGCGGUGAAAUGCGCAGAUAUCAGGAGGAACACCGGUGGCGAAGGCGGGUCUCUGGGCCGAUAUUGACGCUGAGGAGCGAAAGCGUGGGGAGCGAACAGG